rnacentral:tRNA from 1 species
AGAGUAGCUCAGUCGGUAGAGCAUCAGCCUUCCAAGCUGAGGGUCGCCGGUUCGAAACCGGUCUCU